GAUGAACGCUGGCGGCGUGCUUAACACAUGCAAGUCGAACGAUGAAGCCCAGCUUGCUGGGUGGAUUAGUGGCGAACGGGUGAGUAACACGUGAGUAACCUGCCCUUAACUCUGGGAUAAGCCUGGGAAACUGGGUCUAAUACCGGAUAGGAGCGUCCACCGCAUGGUGGGUGUUGGAAAGAUUUAUCGGUUGUGGAUGGACUCGCGGCCUAUCAGCUUGUUGGUGAGGUAAUGGCUCACCAAGGCGACGACGGGUAGCCGGCCUGGGAGGGUGACCGGCCCCACGGGGCUUGGGACACGGCCCGGCCUCCUACGGGGGGCGGCGGGGGGGAUUAUUGCCCAAGGGGCGCAAGCCUGAUGAAGCGACCCCGCGUGGGGGAUGACGGCCUUCGGUUUGUAAACCUCUUUGCGUAUGGAAGAAGCGAGAGUGACGGUACCUGCAGAAGAAGCACCGGCUAACUACGUG
rnacentral:rRNA from 1 species